rnacentral:rRNA from 1 species
GUCGUCGGCCAUACCAGCGUGAAAACACCAGAUCCCAUUAGAACUCUGAAGUUAAGCACGCUAGGGCCGGUCAAGUACCACUAUCGGGGACGGAGUGGGAACCACUUUCGGUGCUGACGGCU